rnacentral:rRNA from 1 species
AUUGAACGCUAGCGGGGUGCUUUACACAUGCAAGUCGAACGGAGUGGCGUACGGGUGAGUUAUAUAUCGGACCGUGCCCAGUAUUUGGGGUUAACCUCUCGAAAGAGUGGCUAUUACCGCAUUCUUAUGGAGCGGCCGAUACCGGAGUAGCUCGUUGGUGGGGUAAAGGUUCACCAAGGCAACGAUCCGUAGCUGGUUUGCGAGGACGACCAGCCACACUGGGACUUGGACAAGGCCCAGAGUCCUACGGGAGGCAGCAGUGGUGAAUUUUGGACAAUGGGAGAAACCCUGAUCCAGCCAUCCCGCGUGUAUGAUGAAGGCAUUCGGGUUGUAAAGUACUUUUGGCAGAGCAGCGGUAGCUGCAGAAGAAGCACCGGCUAACUACGUGCCAGCAGCCGCGGUAAUUC